rnacentral:rRNA from 1 species
GACGAACGCUGGCGGCGUGCCUAAUACAUGCAAGUCGAACGAGAGCGCCCGGUGCUUGCACUGGUCAAUCUAGUGGCGAACGGGUGAGUAACACGUGGGUAACCUGCCCAUCAGAGGGGGAUAACAUUCGGAAACGGAUGCUAAAACCGCAUAGGUCUUCGAACCGCAUGGUUUGAAGAGGAAAAGAGGCGCAAGCUUCUGCUGAUGGAUGGACCCGCGGUGCAUUAGCUAGUUGGUGAGGUAACGGCUCACCAAGGCCGUGAUGCAUAGCCGACCUGAGAGGGUGAUCGGCCACAUUGGGACUGAGACACGGCCCAAACUCCUGCGGGAGGCAGCAGUAGGGAAUCUUCCGCAAUGGACGCAAGUCUGACGGAGCAACGCCGCGUGAGUGAAGAAGGUUUUCGGAUCGUAAAACUCUGUUGUUAGAGAAGAACAAGUGCUAGAGUAACUGUUAGCGCCUUGACGGUAGCUAACCAGAAAGCCACGGCUAACUACGUG